rnacentral:rRNA from 1 species
CAGCCGCCGCGGUAAUACGGAGGGGGCUAGCGUUGUUCGGAAUUACUGGGCGUAAAGCGCACGUAGGCGGCUUGGUAAGUUAGAGGUGAAAGCCCGGAGCUCAACUCCGGAAUUGCCUUUAAGACUGCCGAGCUAGCAGGUGAGAGAGGUAAGUGGAAUUCCGAGUGUAGAGGUGAAAUUCGUAGAUAUUCGGAAGAACACCAGUGGCGAAGGCGGCUUACUGGCUCAUACUGGACGCUGAGGUGCGAAAGCGUGGGGAGCAAACAGGAUUAGAUACCCCAGUAGUCCCUGUCUCUUAUAC